AUUGAACGCUGGCGGCAGGCUUAACACAUGCAAGUCGAGCGAGCGGCGGACGGGUGAAUAAUGUCUGGGAACCUGCCUGAUGGAGGGGGAUACCUACUGGAAACGGUAGCUAAUACCGCAUACCCUUAGCUUUGCCCAGAUGGGAUUAGCUAGUAGGUGGGGUAAUGGCUCACCUAGGCCACGAUCCCUAGCUGGUCUGAGAGGCUGACCAGCCACACUGGAACUGAGACACGGUCCAGACGCCUACGGGAGGCAGCAGUGGGGAAUAUUGCACAAUGGGCGCAAGCCUGAUGCAGCCAUGCCGCGUGAGUGAAGAAGGCCUUCGGGUUGUAAAGCACUUUCAGCAAGUAGGCGUUACUCGCAGAAGAAGCACCGGCUAACUCCGUGCCAGCAGCCGCGGUAAUAC
rnacentral:rRNA from 1 species